UGAUCCUCUCCUCCUCAUCUCCGAAUAAACCCACAAUACACACACAUAUUACUCCCCUCUUUGUCUGCAAGUAUAUACACACAUACAAAUAACCAAACAUUUUCACUAUCUCCCUCUCGAAAUCUUCUACACACCCACAUAAGGUCCUCACUUUCACAACCUGAUGCUCACAAACACCCAAACCCACUUGAACCCUCACUUUCCCCUCUCCGUUGAAGAUGAACAGCCGGACUCCGGCCAGACAUGGCGGAGCCGGCGAUGGCAGUGGGUCCCAGCGACGGCCCUCCCCUUACUCGGUUCCCCUGUAACCCGAUAACCACCAAGCACACCCCCCGGCUCCUUUCUUCGUCGAUUCACGAUCGGAGCACCACCACCACUGUCCGGUGGUGGUGCGGCGGCUAUAAUCAGGGAGGGGAGAGAGUCGGGAGGAGAGAGAGACAGAGAGGGACUGAGCAGUGAAGAGAGAGGCGGCAGCGGAGGUGGCCGACGACUGCCGGAGUCGCGCCGGCACGACGACAGUGAUGGUGGUGACUAACUCCGAUGAGUGCAUCAUUGUGAUGACUCGGGUGGAUACUGGGGGCGGCUCACGACUGUAGCUGACGCCGGCAGCGGUGGCGGCAGGAGGUGGUUAAUCAUGCUUCUGGUUCGAGUGAGUUCGGGUCUUAUUUCAGAUCGAUUUCAGAGCAGAGUGGGUCCCGGUUCAGAAUCGGAGUUCAGAUCAACCCAGUCAACACAAUGGGUUGACUGGUCAAAGACGAUCAAAGCAGGUCAACAGGUUCGGAUCGGUCAACAGCUUCGGUUCAGGUCAACUCAGCUUACAGGCCAACUCAACUCGGGUCAAACCCGGUUAACUCAGUUAACUCGGUUAACUACGUUAACCCGGUUGACUUGGUCAACUCAGCGAGUCAACUCGGUCAACCCGGUUGACUCGGUCAACUCAGCUUUUCGACACGAGAUUUUGGUAAAGUCUUGGCGCGAAUGCACGCUAGCGAGUCUCGUCUUGGAAACGACAUCACGAA